UACAGAGGGUGCGAGCGUUAAUCGGAAUUACUGGGCGUAAAGCGUGCGUAGGCGGCUAUCUAAGUCGGGUGUGAAAGCCCCGGGCUCAACCUGGGAAUUGCAUUCGAGACUGAAUAGCUAGGGUACGGUAGAGGGAAGUGGAAUUUCCGGUGUAGCGGUGAAAUGCGUAGAUAUCGGAAGGAACAUCAGUGGCGAAAGCGACUUCCUGGACCAGUACCGACGUUCAGGCACGAAAGCGUGGGGAGCAAACGGG
rnacentral:rRNA from 1 species